rnacentral:rRNA from 1 species
GCAACGAGCGCAACCCUACGUUUAGUUGCUAACGCGUGAAGGCGAGGCACUCUAGACGAACUGCCGUUGACAAAACGGAGGAAGGUGGGGAUGACGUCAAAUCAUCAUGCCCCUUAUGUUCUGGGCUACACACGUGCUACAAUGGCCGGUACAGACGGACGCAAAGCCGCGAGGUGGAGCAAAUCCUAAAAAGCCGGUCUCAGUUCGGAUUGCAGGCUGCAAUUCGCCUGCAUGAAGUCGGAAUCGCUAGUAAUCGCAGGUCAGCAUACUGCGGUGAAUACGUUCCCGGGCCUU